CCCCCGUUUCCCUCCCCCAUGCUGCCUCAACAAGUGUGACAGUUGUCUCACUCCACAGUUCACGAGAGAGAGAGAGAGAGAGAGAGAGAGAGAGAGAGAGAGAGAGAGAGUAGAGUCUAGUGAUCAUCUCCUCACUAUAAAUAGGGCAGGGCACUUGGGGGCCAUUCCAUCUUCACUUCCAGCACUAGUUCACUGGUUGGCUCUAUCUAGCUACACAAACCUAAGCAGCUUCACCGCGCCUCAUGUUCUUGCUCUCUAUCUCUCAUUCUCACCAUGCAUGAAACAUGGUUCUUGCGCCCUUGUCUUUGCUCUCUCGUGGCCAGCCGCGCCAUUGCUAGCUGCUGCUUGGUCUUGUUCAUCCACAAAGAAUAACCCAGCUGCUAGGUAGUUAGAGAGAGAAGAUCUGAGGAGAAGGAAAAGGGUAUGGAACAAUCCUUGAAGCUCAGGAGGGAUAGCGCCUAGGAAAUCACUAGAUUGGAGCCAUGAGGAGAAAGAGAUCGAGAGACGUGCGAAUCGAUCUGCUCGGUCUCUUUCUCUCAAGGUUCUGUCUAUCAAUCUGAAGCGCUAUCUAUCCUGAGCUCCACGGCUUGUUCUUACCACACACACGCCGGCGUCCGAUCGAUCGAUCGAGUUCUUCCCAGAUCUCUCGCUCUUUCUCUCUCUUAAGAAGUUAAAUCAACCUCUUCACGUCUCCUGUACAUUGCUGCGAUGCAGGUGAGAGGUCGUAGUCUCAUCAAGCAGCUUGACGCCAUUGCUGCAGGCCGAGGUAUCUCCUCUCCUGCUGGCUCCAUGAUUAUUUUACCAUAUCCGUGCGAGAGGUGAGGCGUGUUCGUGCAUGCAUGCAUGCUCGCAAAGUUAUGGGCACGCCCGGUUUUACUUGCUACCGUACAAAAGGGGCACGUAGGUAGGGGGCCGGAUCUUCUACGCCGCCGGACUCCAUGGCCCAACGGCCCAUGCCAUGACACGACACCUCCCUGUUCCUCGCCGAAAAAGAAAAAGAAUCGAAGGAAGCGUGUAAUAAUAAAAGGAAAAGCCGUCAGGUCACUGCGGCUGGUGUAGUAGUGUGUACAGGCAUGUAGCCUGACCCCUUGUUCUUCUCGUGAAAGUUUUGAAUACGUUUUUUUAA